rnacentral:rRNA from 1 species
CGGGUGCACUGAUCCGGCCGGGCCUUUCCCUCUGUGGAACCCCAUGGCCUUCACUGGCUGUGCGGGGGAAACAGGACUUUUACUGUGAAAAAAUUAGAGUGCUCCAGGCAGGCCUAUGCUCGAAUACAUUAGCAUGGAAUAAUAGAAUAGGACGCGUGGUUCUAUUUUGUUGGUUUCUAGGACCGCCGUAAUGAUUAAUAGGGACAGUCGGGGGCAUCAGUAUUCAAUUGUCAGAGGUGAAAUUCUUGGAUCUAUUGAAGACUAACCACUGCGAAAGCAUUUGCCAAGGAUGUUUUCAUUGAUAAGGAACGAAAGUUAGGGGAUCGAAGACGAUCAGAUACCGUCGUAGUCUUAACUAUAAACUAUGCCGACUAGGGAUCGGACGAUGUUAUUUCUUGACGCGUUCGGCACCUUUCGAGAAAUCAAAGUGCUUGGGCUCCAGGGGGAGUAUGGUCGCAAGGCUGAAACUUAAAGAAAUUGACGGAAGGGCACCACCAGGGGUGGAACCUGCGGCUUAAUUUGACUCAACACGGGGAAACUCACCAGGUCCAGACACAGUGAGGAUUGACAGAUUGAGAGCUCUUUCUUGAUUCUGUGGGUGGUGGUGCAUGGCCGUUCUUAGUUGGUGGAGUGAUUUGUCUGCUUAAUUGCGAUAACGAACGAGACCUUAACCUGCUAAAUAGCCCGUACUGCUCUGGCAGUUCGCCGGCUUCUUAGAGGGACUAUCGG